CCUACGGGGGGCAGCAGUGGGGAAUAUUGGACAAUGGGGGGAACCCUGAUCCAGCCAUGCCGCGUGUGUGAAGAAGGCCCUCGGGUUGUAAAGCACUUUCAGUGAGGAAGAACGCCUGGUGGUUAAUACCCAUCAGGAAAGACAUCACUCACAGAAGAAGCACCGGCUAACUCCGUGCCAGCAGCCGCGGUAAUACGGAGGGUGCGAGCGUUAAUCGGAAUUACUGGGCGUAAAGCGCGCGUAGGUGGCUUGAUAAGCCGGUUGUGAAAGCCCCGGGCUCAACCUGGGAACGGCAUCCGGAACUGUCAAGCUAGAGUGCAGGAGAGGAAGAUAGAAUUCCCGGUGUAGCGGUGAAAUGCGUAGAGAUCGGGAGGAAUACCAGUGGCGAAGGCGGCCUUCUGGACUGACACUGACACUGAGGUGCGAAAGCGUGGGUAGCAAACAGGAUUAGAUACCCGUGUAGUC
rnacentral:rRNA from 1 species